rnacentral:rRNA from 1 species
GAUGAACGCUGGCGGCGUGCCUAAUACAUGCAAGUCGAGCGAACAGACGAGGAGCUUGCUCCUCUGACGUUAGCGGCGGACGGGUGAGUAACACGUGGAUAACCUACCUAUAAGACUGGGAUAACUUCGGGAAACCGGAGCUAAUACCGGAUAAUAUAUUGAACCGCAUGGUUCAAUAGUGAAAGACGGUUUUGCUGUCACGUAUAGAUGGAUCCGCGCCGCAUUAGCUAGUUGGUAAGGUAACGGCUUACCAAGGCAACGAUGCGUAGCCGACCUGAGGGGGUGAUCGGCCACACUGGAACUGAGACACGGUCCAGACUCCUACGGGAGGCAGCAGUAGGGAAUCUUCCGCAAUGGGCGAAAGCUUGACGGAGCAACGCCGCGUGAGUGAUGAAGGUCUUCGGAUCGUAAAACUCUGUUAUUAGGGAAGAACAAAUGUGUAAGUAACUAUGCACGUCUUGACGGUACCUAAUCAGAAAGCCACGGCUAACUACGUG